UCUCCGUAGGUGAACCUGCGGAGGGAUCAUUACAGAGUUCAUGCCCUACCGGGUAGAUCUCCCACCCAAUGUUAUUAUUACUUUGUUGCUUUGGCGGACCGUUAGGCUCCGGCCCGACUACCGGCCCCGGCUGGUAAGCGCCCGCCAGAGGACCCAAAACCCUGAAUAUUAGUGUCGUCUGAGUACUAUAUAAUAGUUAAAACUUUCAACAACGGAUCUCUUGGUUCUG
rnacentral:misc_RNA from 1 species